rnacentral:rRNA from 1 species
GAUGAACGCUGACAGAAUGCUUAACACAUGCAAGUCAACUUGAAUUUGGGUUUUUAACUUAGGUUUGGGUGGCGGACGGGUGAGUAACGCGUAAAGAACUUGCCUCACAGCUAGGGACAACAUUUGGAAACGAAUGCUAAUACCUAAUAUUAUGAUAAUAGGGCAUCCUAUAAUUAUGAAAGCUAUAAGCGCUGUGAGAGAGCUUUGCGUCCCAUUAGCUAGUUGGAGAGGUAACGGCUCACCAAGGCGAUGAUGGGUGGCCGGCCUGAGAGGGUGAUCGGCCACAAGGGGACUGAGACACGGCCCUUACUCCUACGGGAGGCAGCAGUGGGGAAUAUUGGACAAUGGACCGAGAGUCUGAUCCAGCAAUUCUGUGUGCACGAUGAAGUUUUUCGGAAUGUAAAGUGCUUUCAGUUGGGAAGAAACAAAUGACGGUACCAACAGAAGAAGUGACGGCUAAAUACGUG